GAUGAAGAACGUAGCGAAAUGCGAUACUUGGUGUGAAUUGCAGAAUCCCGUGAACCAUCGAGUCUUUGAACGCAAGUUGCGCCCGAAGCCAUUAGGCCGAGGGCACGCCUGCCUGGGCGUCACACGUCGUUGCCCCCCCAUCUACUCCUUCGGGAUUGCGGGGGGCGGAUGAUGGCCUCCCGUGCGCCUCGCCGCGCGGUUGGCAUAAAUGCCAAGUCCUCGGCGACGCACGCCACGACAAUCGGUGGUUGCGAAACCUCGGUUGCCCGUCGUGUGCGGUCGUCGCGCAUCGAGGGCCCGAAAAAAUUGCCGGGUUCCGGCUCGGCUUUCAACGCGACCCCAGGUCAGGCGGGGUUACCCGCUGAAUUUAAGCAUAUCAAUAAGCGGAGGA
rnacentral:misc_RNA from 1 species